CCUUGAUCACAGCUUUGCUCGAAGGCCUGAAAAACUAUUCCAGACAGAUUGCUGGGAGAUACACAAAAGUUUUUUCUCUGCCCACGUUCCUCGGGCUUUUCGCAAUUUAUCUGUCUGCCUCACUUCCCAAUGGUAUAUGCCAGGAACAUAUCUUCAUACAUGAAUCUAUUUUAGGGUCAACUGCAAAUCACACAGGGAUUCUUUCACU
rnacentral:ribozyme from 1 species